rnacentral:rRNA from 1 species
UCACCUACGGGGGGCAGCAGUCGGGAAUAUUGCGCAAUGGAGGAAACUCUGACGCAGUGACGCCGCGUAUAGGAAGAAGGUUUUCGGAUUGUAAACUAUUGUAGACAGGGAAGAAGAAAGACAGUAACUGUUCACGUUUCGACGGUAUCUAACCAGAAAGCCACGGCUAACUACGUGCCAGCAGCCGCGGUAAUACGUAGGUGGCAAGCGUUAUCCGGAUUUAUUGGGCGUAAAGGGAACGCAGGCGGACUUUUAAGUCUGAUGUGAAAGCCUUCGGCUUAACCGGAGUAGUGCAUUGGAAACUG